rnacentral:lncRNA from 1 species
AAUAGGAAGAGCUGUAUGCAACUUGUUUGCAUUGGAGGGUGCCACCGUGGCCUUCACCUACGUGAAGGGCCACGAAGACAAGGACGCGAAGGACACCCUUGAGAUGAUCAACAGGGCCAAGACUCAGGAUGCCAUGGACCCCAAGGCCAUAGCUGCUGACUUAGGCUAUGAUGAGAACUGCAAGAAGGUCAUCGAAGAGGUGGUCAACGCUUAUGGCAGAAUUGACAUCUUGGUCAACAAUGCUGCUGAGCAGUACGAGAAUAUAACUAUUGAGGAGAUUGACGAUCCAAGGCUUGAAAGGGUUUUCCGCACUAACAUCUUCUCAUACUUCUUUAUGACCAG